ACCGAGCGUGUGCGUAUGUGUGUGUGCUUGUACUUUUGCGUGCAGAGGUCUGCAGAAGGCGGCUUUGAAUGCACUUCAAAGCACCUUGUCUGCAGGGCGCAAAAAGGUGUUUGAUGUGACACAUUUUGAGAAUUCAAAAUGCAGUUGUUUAUUGAAUCUCAACUCUUAUUGGUAGAAUGUUUUACUUUUUCCUCCUCCCAUUGGCUCAGUGAAUGGUCACGUUUGUAAACAACUUUAUAUGGGGUCCAACGGCUCAAAGGCCAUUUUACUCCCUGUGACUGCUGGUGAGCAGAGAUGGCGAGAAUAUUUUUUCUUGAGGAGGCAAGAAAAAUGGUGUUGGAGGAGGACUGUCCCACAGACUCAAUGGAUGAAAAGGAUGAUGUGUCACAAGACUAUGAUGAAGAUUUUGAGCCACUUGUAGGAGAGGAGGAAGAGGAUGAUGAUUAGGAUUUUGAGGAGGUUACAGCAGAAGCAGCAGAGGAGCAACAACAACAGAAUCAGGUCAGCACUCCAUGGCUUGCCAAAAACCAAGAAAUUGUGUGGUCCUCUACAAAUGAAGUUUCGAGGCACUUCAACCCGCCCCCUAUUCUAUUGCCUGGCCCAACGCUUUUUGCAAUUGCCAGGAUCAGUAGCCCCGAGACUACUGUCAAUCUGUUUUGCCCGGACGACAUUAUCCAGCAGAUUGUCUAAAAAAAAGCCCAAGAUUAUUUUGGACUACAAUCUGUGUAAAGCGGCAGUCGAUCACUUGGACCAGGCAUCUGCCACAUAUUCUUGCUGCUGGAGGACAUUACGAUGGCCAAUGUCCAUAUCAUAUCAUAUCAUAUCAUAUGCUGGAUCUGUCUCUCUUCAAUGCAUUCACCCUCUUUACUCAGGUGGACCCCGCAGUGGUGGCCACGCCACAAAGCCAGAAAUGUGGGCAAUGUGGCCUUUGCAUUAACCGACUACGGGCAUCAAACAUUAGCUGCAAAUGCGGCAUUUUCUUUAGCCAAAAACAUGGCCAAAAAGUGUGCAAAUUGUUUUUUUUUAAAAAAAAAGCUCACUGGUUGUUUGUUGUUCUAGUUGAGUUGUUUGUUGUUCUAGUUCAGUAGUUUGUUGUUGUGCGUUUGAGUUAUAUAGAUUCUGUUAAUUCAAAAUUCUUCUAGUUGUUGUGACUUGUUGACUGUUAUUCUGAUGCCAGUGAAUAUUUUUAGUGGUUGAAGGUAAAAAAAAACAAUAU